UCCAUCUCAAAAAAAAAAAAAAAAAAUUGGAACGUACAGAGAAGUUUAGCAUAGUCCCUGCACAAGGAUGACAUGCAAAUUCAUGAGGUGUUCCAUAUUUUA
ensembl:snRNA U6 U6 spliceosomal RNA